GUCAUCUAUUCCAACUAGCAGGUAAGUUUUUAGGUAAUGACAGUGACGUCGAAAUUUGGCUCCAUGGCCCAUGUGUAAGUAAGGGCGGUGAUGCCUUUUACUACACAAGGGGUUCAGAGGAGAUUCUUGAAGUUUGUCUUGUGAAGUUGUGAUUGACCGGAACCUGGGGAAAGCUAAGGACUUUUUCAGUGGUGCUUCCGACAAUAGGAAGUUGGCGGUGAAAAGACAAGAGCAACAUCUUGGAGAGGAAGCUUCGACACAGAGGGAAGGGACACGUUGUGAAGAAGCAUGGUUUGGUGAGGUCGACAUCUCCCCUCUCCAAUGCUAGCAGCAUCGUUGCCCUUGCGCUCCCCCUAUGCCACCAUGCCCACUCUUGUUGUGCACAACAUCAAAGGGAAAUCCUUCGCCUGGGCCGGCUCAUGCAGCAGGGACCACCUAUACUACGCUCUGCGCGCUGAAAGAAGACGCAGCGCGCCUAUCUGGGCCGGCCCAUGCCCG